AUGUCGCCCGACCGCCCCAUCCGCAUUGCCCCCACCCCCGUCCGCCGCUAGAUGCGGAUCCCGCCGCUUCCAGCAUCCAGCCAAGCCCGUGAGCCGCACGCCGCUCCUGCUCCCGCUCCGAGCGCCUUAGGUCAGGCGGCGUUGGCCCGACGGCGGGGGGAGGCAUCACGCUGCCAUCCAUGGGCGCGCCCCCGCCGCCGCUGCACCCGACGCCCACCUCUCCCACGGCGCGCCCGCACCACCACCACUACCUCUUCUCCAUCAAGCAGCUCAACACGCUGGGCGCGGCGGCCGUGCUCGCCUUCUCCACCACGGUCCCGCUCUCGGAGACUGCCUUCGCGGUGCUCCUCCCCCCUACCUCCUCGUCCUCGCCUGGCUCGCCUUCCCGCAGCGCCCAGGCCGCUCGAGACCCGGAUCCCGCCUCUACCCCUCGGCACCAUCGUCAGUGUCUUCGAUGGCCACAACGGCCCCGACGCCCCCACCCCGACAGACACUGAGCCCUCUUCCGCUCGCGUGACUGGUGCCCCCUCAACCCUCGACUCUCCUCCCCACCGUGGCCCCUUCCCCAGCCCCAGUGACCAGCGCCUCCCUUCCUAAGUGCGGCCAUGGCGACCAUCGUGCCCUAGCCCGCCCCUGCACCAUGGCAAGCACACCCCUUCUACUCCUCUCGCCCCAACCCCUGUGCAGCCCAGCGCGGUGGCCUAUAACCCACAGCAAGGCGCAACUAGCUGGCUGGUGGCCCUGCCCCGGUGAGCCCCUGCUAGGCGCGGCCAGCAACCCCCGUGGUCUAGCCCCUGCCUAGGCACACCCAAAACCCCUGCCCUUGCAACUUGUCCUCGGCGCCGCCCCACUCGCCCGAGAUCUGCCGCGACAACAGGAAUUGGACGUACAUUGGGACUUUGAAGUGCAGCUAAGGCUACCUGGCGAUUGGUGGAAAGAGAUCUGAUGACGGCGAUCAUGGUCGAAGAGUAGGAGAGGCCCUAGAAGAAAGGUGACAUAUUCUCGUUCUUCGGCAGCGGAAUAAAUGCACCGAGCUGAGAAAGGACAGAACAAAGAAAGAUCUUAAAAUCAAAGCUAAAGAAGUGGAGAUUCAAAAUCUAAAAAAAAGCUAAUGUCAUGGAAUAAAUGAGGUUGAUGUGGAGCUAAAAAGGGAGGCUAUGUUUUUUUGGGUGAGGCGGUUAUCAUUGGCUUGUUAUGUGAACAUUAUUGUGAUGUGGUUUCAUGUUGUCCAGGUGCCAGUUUAACAACUUUUUGCACCACCAUGUCGAGAAUAUCAUUGGGUCAUGUCUGGAGAGUAAUAAUGAUCAACUGAUGGGCCAUGUCCUUGAUGAGUGUAAACUUGUUACAAGAAUUUUGGAAGCAGAGAAGAACUCUGCUCUAUCGUCAGAAUUGGACGGUCGCAUCGACGCCAGGUUCCAGCAGAGGAGUCGUUACUCUCCUUGAUUCCUUCACCGAGUUCACCGAGAUGGCUGAAUUGAAGGGAGAAGAUGAUUUAUCAGCAGGCUCUAUGAGCACAACUGCAUAGUCAAGACAUAAUUCUUCGGCCCCUGCAGACUUCAAGCAGCUAAGAAGUGUUACGCCCAUUGACAUCUUUCCACGACAAGAGACCUGGGCAAGAGAAUCCGGACGUGCUGAGGGGGAGAGGAAGGAGAGGAGGAAGAUAUCGGGCAAGAGAACCCAUUGACAUCCUUGGAUAGGGUCCGUCUGAUGCCAUUCAUCGCUGUCUUUGAUCUCAGGAAGGCAUCUUAGCCAGCUCAAUUUUAUUAGAAAUAUUGUUGUUUUAAGAUACAGAGUCCAUGGUUACUAUUGUACGCUUUUCUGAGAAACUUGUCAUCCCAAUAAUUUGGUUCUGGAGCUAUAUACUGAUCUAGCUUGUUU